UUUUAGCCGCGGCUGAAACGGCAUCCUUUUUUACAGAAAAUGCGCCACAAGGCGCAUUUUCUGUAAAAAAAGAUAUAGUGGAAGACGGGACUCCAU
rnacentral:sRNA from 1 species